rnacentral:rRNA from 1 species
AAUGAACGUUGGCGGCGUGGAUUAGGCAUGCAAGUCGAGCGAGAAUCUCCGCAAGGAGAGGACAGCGGCGAAAGGGAGAGGAAUACGUAGGUACCUACCCUCAGGUCUGGGAUAGCCACGGGAAACCGUGGGUAAUACCAGAUAAUGUCUCCGGACCAAAGGUGUGAUUCCACCUGGGGAGGGGCCUGCGUCCUAUUAGCUAGUUGGUGGGGUAACGGCCUACCAAGGCGAUGAUGGGUACGGGCGUGAGAGCGUGCCCCCGCUCACUGGGACUGAGACACUGCCCAGACACCUACGGGAGGCAG